rnacentral:misc_RNA from 1 species
UUUUUAUUUUUUUAACAGAAUUCAAUAGAAUCCCAAUAUCCCCACCCCACAUUCACAGAUUAAGGUUUUAUCAUUCUAAGGAUCCAUCCGCAGGUUCACCUACGGAUA